GUGGCCUUACUGGGGGAGUUCUACCACUGAGGACAGGCUUUGAAGUUUCAAAAGCCCAUCCCAGACUCUGUCUGUUCUGUUCUGUUCUGUUCUGUUCUGUUCUGUUCUGUUCUGUUCUGUUCUGUUCUGUUCUGUUCUGUCCUGUUCUGUUCGUUCUCUCUCUCUCUCUCUCUCUCUCUCUCUCUCUCUCUCUCUCUCUCUCUCUCUCUCUCUCUUUCUCUCUCAAUGUGAAGCUCUUAGAUACUGCUCCAGCACCAUGCCUGUCUCCUUCUCAUCAUGACGAUCAUGAACUAACCCUCUAAAGCUGAAAGAGGACCUACUUUCUGCUAAGUAGGAAAAAGCUACAGAAGUAAUGGACCAGGUCUGGGGCUCUGAGGCAGCUGCCUGGAGAUUAUCAAAUAGGAUCCCUCCGAGAGACGCGACCUUCCUCUUCUGGGGCAUAGCUCGGUCUUCUACUUGGACUGACGCUCAAAGCCUGAUUUUCUUCCCUGAAGAAACAGAGAUAGCGGGGGCAGGAGAGAUGCCUCAGCCGUUAAGAGCACUGACUGUUCUUCCUAAAGGUCCUGAGUUCAAUUCCCGGCAACCAUAUGGUGGCUCACAGCCAUCUGUAAUGGGAUCCAAUGCCCUCUUCUGGUGUGUCUGAAGACAGCGACAGGGUACUCAUAUACAUAAUAUAAGUAAAUAAGUUUUUUAAAAAAGAAGAAGAAACAGAGAGAGCAACCAGGGUAGUAUGUUCUACACAGGGAGUUCAUCUCUUAGGAGACUCUGAGGUCCAGCUUUCCUAUCCCAUGAGGUCUCUGGUACAGCUAUCUGAUGCCCAUGCCUAAAUCCUAACUCCUAAGGACUUUGCCUGGUUGCUCUAUGUGUCCCUAAAUUCUCCUUCCAAAUAGUCCCACAUUAAGGCUUAAUUUGUACUUUAUGUAUGGCUCUCAAUAAAUGUCUGUGUGGACUCUAGCUUUUCUGGAGAAAA